rnacentral:misc_RNA from 1 species
GAUGAAGAACGCAGCGAAAUGCGAUAAGUAAUGUGAAUUGCAGAAUUCAGUGAAUCAUCGAAUCUUUGAACGCACCUUGCGCCCUUUGGCUAUUCCUAAGGGCAUGCCUGUUUGAGUAUCAUGAACACCUCAACUCUCAUGGUUUGCCAUGAUGAGCUUGGACUCUGGGGGUCUUGCUGGCCUAUGGUCAGCUCCUCUCAAAUAAAUCAGCUUGCCAGUGUUUGGUGGCAUCACAGGUGUGAUAACUAUCUACGCUUGUGGUUUUCCAUCAGGUAACCUUCAGUGAUGGAGGUUCGCUGGAGCUCAUAAAUGUCCCUCCUCAGCGAGGACAGCUUUUUGAACGUUUGAUCUCAAAUCAGGUAGGACUACCCGCUGAACUUAAGCAUAUCAAUAAGCGGAGGA